rnacentral:misc_RNA from 1 species
CCCCAGUCACAGGUGUUCCACCUUGAUCACUAUUGCAUCCACGUUGUUUUUGUUCUCUUUCUUUGUGGUAGCCGCUGCAGAGCCCCCCUCUGCCCCAAGGAGCUCCGGCCAUGAAUCACUGAAGGCAAAAAAUAUAUAUAUAUGAUUAAAGAGGACUUGCAUAUACUUGUGCCGACGCUGACUUGCCAUUCUCCUCUCGAUCUAGUUUUCAAUGAAAUCUGUAGAUUGAAUGUUAAUGGUUUGGCUUUGCG